CAGCAGCCGCGGUAAUACGAAGGGGGCUAGCGUUGCUCGGAAUUACUGGGCGUAAAGGGCGCGUAGGCGGAUCGUUAAGUCUGAUGUGAAAGCCCUGGGCUCAACCUGGGAACUGCAUUGGAUACUGGCUUACUAGAGUGCGGUAGAGGGUAGCGGAAUUCCCGGUGUAGCAGUGAAAUGCGUAGAUAUCGGGAGGAACAUCCGUGGCGAAGGCGGCUACCUGGACCAGCACUGACACUGAGGCACGAAAGCGUGGGGAGCA
rnacentral:rRNA from 1 species